UUACAUGAAUACAUCGAAUCGGAAGAUGGACAGUAUUCUUUGCAAAAUUUAUGCUGAACCGUAUUUUUUGUCAACGAUGAGAUAAACACAUAUAUUUAUACAUAUCUGCAUUUUUCGCAUGUGCAUACACGUGACAAUUUGCUUACUUGAAAAUACUCCUGUACUUUGAAUGGUUGAAGCUUAGUUUUUAUGGUUUACGAGCCUCACAAUCUCUGUUUUUUAUGUGAUAUUAGCAUAACAAUGAAGUAAUAAAGUAAAUCAACCUGUGGUAAUUACUAUAUAGAGCAAGUAAUAUUAUGGAAGAUUCAUAAAUAUGCACAACAGGGGUUCCCAUGAUUAUUUUUAAUAUACGAUGAUAAUGAUUAUAGCAAUGAAACGCUAAAGUUCAUUGUACAAUGUUACAGAAAAAAAAAAAAAGAAUGAGCAAGAGCAAAAAAAAUUACUUCAGCUUGAGAAACUAUAGAUCGAAACGAUAUAAUUAAUAAUACCAUCGAUCAAGCGGUACGGAACGAUCACGCGAAAGUAAGAAAUAUCUUCCACCGUACAAUUUUCCCCAUCGACGAAUGAUGCAGGUUCGUUGAUCUGAAUUCGAAUGAAGACGUGAUUCAUGUAUUUCAAUCAUUCGAUGCAACAUUCUCUAUAUAGAUAAAACCUGUUCGUUUGAAAAUAUAUGCGUUUCUAGAGACUUUAAGGAAUGUAAGUCUCAUGUUAAAAACACGAAGGAAUCGAAUAUGUUCAAUGUAUUUUUAUUCAAACGAUAUUCUGUCAUUUGAUAAAGAUAGACAACAUUAAAAUAAUCAAUCAAUUCUUCGAAUGUGACCGAGAACAUGAUUUACAUAGAUACAUUCAAAGCCACAUUCUUGCGCUUGAAAUUCCACAAAGCAAUCAUACCUAGAUUCUCCCGUUCUCCGAAUCCUCCGCCUCCGGCUUCACACAGGUGCACCUGCAACAACACAAAUAAGCCUUUAGAUUAUAGUAUUCUACCUGUGCGAGCAGUUUGAUUCCGUACCAAAUACCAGGAAUCGAAUACGUCUAUAUGUAUAGAUGCAAAAGAAUGAUUUAAAAAAAUUGAAAAGAAUAAGUACUCGCAUUCAAAUAAGAUGGAUGCGGUAAGAUUGUGUACAAAAGUACAUUGCUUUCCGCAACAUUGAAUUUUGCCGCAAUAUCUCCAACGAAGAAGACGAUAAUUUUUCACGCGAAUCGCGCUACGAUCUUCCGCGAGUACAAAAAAUUCUGCAAAAUAUCAUCAAGAAUUAUUAGAAAUAAUAGGAGAAACGGCGUACACAAGUUCCCUUGAUAGGUAUAUAAAGUUUCACGUAUGUGUGGAAAAAUGAAUUGGCGUGAUAUCGACAUCGUGAACGAAGAAGAACGCACUGCGUAUUUGCGUGUAUGUGCAUGUGCUCGCGCUUGUUCUCUCACUAUCCACAAUCUGAAAGGAGCGCAAACUCUCAAUAAAACCGCUCUACUUCGACAAA